rnacentral:rRNA from 1 species
UACGUAGGGAGCAAGCGUUAUCCGGAUUUACUGGGUGUAAAGGGCGCGCAGGCGGGCCGGCAAGUUGGAAGUGAAAUCUAUGGGCUUAACCCAUAAACUGCUUUCAAAACUGCUGGUCUUGAGUGAUGGAGAGGCAGGCGGAAUUCCGUGUGUAGCGGUGAAAUGCGUAGAUAUACGGAGGAACACCAGUGGCGAAGGCGGCCUGCUGGACAUUAACUGACGCUGAGGCGCGAAAGCGUGGGGAGCAAACAGG